rnacentral:rRNA from 1 species
UACAGAGGGUGCAAGCGUUAAUCGGAAUUACUGGGCGUAAAGCGUGCGUAGACGGUUACAUAAGUCGGGUGUGAAAGCCCCGGGCUCAACCUGGGAAUUGCAUUCGAGACUGCGUAGCUAGGGUGCGGAAGAGGGAAGCGGAAUUUCCGGUGUAGCGGUGAAAUGCGUAGAUAUCUGGAGGAACACCGGUGGCGAAGGCGGCAUCCUGGACCAAUUCUGACGCUGAGUGAGCGAAAGCCAGGGGAGCAAACGGG